CCUCCUCCGAUAAAAAAAAAAGGACUUAACUAUAAUUUAAGUAUUACCAAUCAGUUAAAUCCACUCCACACUCGACCAGCAAACUAUAAUUUAUCAAGCCCACACUCUUCACAAGGACACUAACUAAAAUAUACUUUUGCAGUUCUACACUAUUUAUAAUAGUCUAGAAGCAAAAGGGUCACUCACUUGAUUCAAAAGUUUCUGCACAGCCUC
rnacentral:misc_RNA from 1 species